rnacentral:rRNA from 1 species
GAUGAACGCUGGCGGCGUGCCUAAUACAUGCAAGUCGAGCGAACGGACGAGAAGCUUGCUUCUCUGAUGUUAGCGGCGGACGGGUGAGUAACACGUGGAUAACCUACCUAUAAGACUGGGAUAACUUCGGGAAACCGGAGCUAAUACCGGAUAAUAUUUUGAACCGCAUGGUUCAAAAGUGAAAGACGGUCUUGCUGUCACUUAUAGAUGGAUCCGCGCUGCAUUAGCUAGUUGGUAAGGUAACGGCUUACCAAGGCAACGAUGCAUAGCCGACCUGAGAGGGUGAUCGGCCACACUGGAACUGAGACACGGUCCAGACUCCUACGGGAGGCAGCAGUAGGGAAUCUUCCGCAAUGGGCGAAAGCCUGACGGAGCAACGCCGCGUGAGUGAUGAAGGUCUUCGGAUCGUAAAACUCUGUUAUUAGGGAAGAACAUAUGUGUAAGUAACUGUGCACAUCUUGACGGUACCUAAUCAGAAAGCCACGGCUAACUACGUGCCAGCAGCCGCGGUAAUACGUAGGUGGCAAGCGUUAUCCGGAAUUAUUGGGCGUAAAAGCGCGCGUAGGCGGUUUUUUAAGUCUGAUGUGAAAGCCCACGGCUCAACCGUGGAGGGUCAUUGGAAACUGGAAAACUUGAGUGCAGAAGAGGAAAGUGGAAUUCCAUGUGUAGCGGUGAAAUGCGCAGAGAUAUGGAGGAACACCAGUGGCGAAGGCGACUUUCUGGUCUGUAACUGACGCUGAUGUGCGAAAGCGUGGGGAUCAAACAGGAUUAGAUACCCUGGUAGUCCACGCCGUAAACGAUGAGUGCUAAGUGUUAGGGGGUUUCCGCCCCUUAGUGCUGCAGCUAACGCAUUAAGCACUCCGCCUGGGGAGUACGACCGCAAGGUUGAAACUCAAAGGAAUUGACGGGGACCCGCACAAGCGGUGGAGCAUGUGGUUUAAUUCGAAGCAACGCGAAGAACCUUACCAAAUCUUGACAUCCUUUGACAACUCUAGAGAUAGAGCCUUCCCCUUCGGGGGACAAAGUGACAGGUGGUGCAUGGUUGUCGUCAGCUCGUGUCGUGAGAUGUUGGGUUAAGUCCCGCAACGAGCGCAACCCUUAAGCUUAGUUGCCAUCAUUAAGUUGGGCACUCUAAGUUGACUGCCGGUGACAAACCGGAGGAAGGUGGGGAUGACGUCAAAUCAUCAUGCCCCUUAUGAUUUGGGCUACACACGUGCUACAAUGGACAAUACAAAGGGCAGCGAAACCGCGAGGUCAAGCAAAUCCCAUAAAGUUGUUCUCAGUUCGGAUUGUAGUCUGCAACUCGACUACAUGAAGCUGGAAUCGCUAGCAAUCGUAGAUCAGCAUGCUACGGUGAAUACGUUCCCGGGUCU